UAGCGUAGGGUGCAAGCGUUUAUCCGGAAUUAUUGGGCGUAAAGAGCUCGUAGGCGGUUUGUCGCGUCUGCUGUGAAAACUGGGGGCUCAACCCCCAGCCUGCAGUGGGGUACGGGCAGACUAGAGUGCGGUAGGGGAGAUUGGAAUUCCUGGUGUAGCGGUGGAAUGCGCAGAUAUCAGGAGGAACACCGAUGGCGAAGGCAGAUCUCUGGGCCGUAACUGACGCUGAGGAGCGAAAGCGUGGGGAGCGAACAGG
rnacentral:rRNA from 1 species